rnacentral:rRNA from 1 species
CGCAAAGGGGGCAGGCUACCAUGCAGUCGAGCGGUAGCACAGAGAGCUUGCUCUCGGGUGACGAGCGGCGGACGGGUGAGUAAUGUCUGGGAAACUGCCUGAUGGAGGGGGAUAACUACUGGAAACGGUAGCUAAUACCGCAUAACGUCGCAAGACCAAAGUGGGGGACCUUCGGGCCUCAUGCCAUCAGAUGUGCCCAGAUGGGAUUAGCUGGUAGGUGGGGUAACGGCUCACCUAGGCGACGAUCCCUAGCUGGUCUGAGAGGAUGACCAGCCACACUGGAACUGAGACACGGUCCAGACUCCUACGGGAGGCAGCAGUGGGGAAUAUUGCACAAUGGGCGCAAGCCUGAUGCAGCCAUGCCGCGUGUGUGAAGAAGGCCUUCGGGUUGUAAAGCACUUUCAGCGGGGAGGAAGGCGAUGAGGUUAAUAACCUUGCCGAUUGACGUUACCCGCAGAAGAAGCACCGGCUAACUCCGUGCCAGCAGCCGCGGUAAUACGGAGGGUGCAAGCGUUAAUCGGAAUUACUGGGCGUAAAGCGCACGCAGGCGGUCUGUCAAGUCGGAUGUGAAAUCCCCGGGCUCAACCUGGGAACUGCAUUCGAAACUGGCAGGCUAGAGUCUUGUAGAGGGGGGUAGAAUUCCAGGUGUAGCGGUGAAAUGCGUAGAGAUCUGGAGGAAUACCGGUGGCGAAGGCGGCCCCCUGGACAAAGACUGACGCUCAGGUGCGAAAGCGUGGGGAGCAAACAGGAUUAGAUACCCUGGUAGUCCACGCUGUAAACGAUGUCGAUUUGGAGGUUGUGCCCUUGAGGCGUGGCUUCCGGAGCUAACGCGUUAAAUCGACCGCCUGGGGAGUACGGCCGCAAGGUUAAAACUCAAAUGAAUUGACGGGGGCCCGCACAAGCGGUGGAGCAUGUGGUUUAAUUCGAUGCAACGCGAAGAACCUUACCUGGUCUUGACAUCCACAGAACUUACCAGAGAUGCAUUGGUGCCUUCGGGAACUGUGAGACAGGUGCUGCAUGGCUGUCGUCAGCUCGUGUGUGAAAUGUUGGUAGUCCCGCACGAGCGCAACCCUUAUCUUUGUUGCAGCGUCAGCGGGACUCAAGGAGACUGCAGUGAUACUGAGAGGUGGGAUGACGUCAGUCAUCAUGUCCUACGACAGGCCUACCACUGGCUACAUUGCCAACAAAGAGCGACUUCGAAGCAGCGGACCUCAUAAGUAUUGUUCAUAGUUCCGAAUUGGGGAUCUGUGCCA